UUUUUUUUUUUCUUUUUGUAGAGCUGGGAUCUUUGCCCAGCCUGGUCUCAAACUUACUUAUAGCCUGAAGCAAUCCUCCUGUCUCAGCCUCCCAAAAUGUUGAGAUUACAGGUGUGAACUACCAUGCUGGCCCCUUUGUGACUUUAAUAUACUUAAAAUUAUAUUUCUCUUUUUUUUUUUUUACUAACAGUAUUUCUUGAGUCUCUGUUUGAUAAGGUGAGAUGACUAGUGCCUCUUUUUUUCUUUGUCCAUUCCCUUGGCUUCUAUCCAGAUGAACUUUAAAAAAAUUGAGAUUGAUAAUCUUUAUAUCCCAUUUUGUAAAGUUAAGUCUGUUAUAUUUUGUACUAUUUAUUGUAAAAGCUGAACAAUAAUAAUACAGUGUAAAUAGGUACAUAGUUUUUACAGUAGAGGCAAGUCUGCAGUGGCUAGUUUCUUUUCCAUCGGGGCAUAGUCAAGAUCCCUUUGUAAGUGUCUUGCAGGAUACCUGAAUGAAUUCUCCUUUCUUCAUUCUACAAAUUGGUCAAAGUGAUGUUACCAUUUAGUUUUUUCUUUGGGGAUAAAAAAUAUAUGCUUUCAUUAUUAUUGCCUGAUGCCUUCUAGUGUUUUUUUUUGAGACGGAGUCUUGCUCUAUUUCCCAGGUUGGAGGCAGUAACACAGUCUCAGCUCACUGCAACCUCUGCCUCCCGGGUUCAAGUGAUUCUCCUGCCUCUGCCUCCCGAGUAGCUAGGAUUAUAGGCGCCUGCCACCAUGCCAUUUUUUAUAUUUUUAGUAGAGACAGAGUUUCACUGUGUGUUGUUCAGUCUGGUGUUGAACUCUGACCUCACGUAGUCCACUUGCCUUGGCCUCCCAAAGUGCUGGGAUUACAGGUGGGAGCCAUUGCUCCUGGCUGCUUCUGGCUGUUCUUGAAAUCCAUUUUGUUGAGGGGGGGGGGCAGUUGGCUUUCUAUUCUAACUUUGGCGUUUUUGCUUCACAUUUGGGCUGUGAUUCUGUUGUACGUGUACUCCUCUCUCCAACAUGUCCAAAGUUUCUAGCUGCUUUUUUCACCCCUUCUCAUCUGCUUCCUUAUUUUAUCCUCAUUCAUACUUUCUACAGAAUCCUUUUUUCCCUUUAGACUGCAUUCUUGGGGACCUCCAUCCUCCUAGUCCAGUCUGGACUGGUUGCUCCCUAGACUUGCCAAGCAACUGGCAUACUAGAAUUCACUUUCACAACUCUCUAAGGUGGUACUUAUUCUUUCUUGAAUCUCCUGUUUUAUCUUUUCUUGGUUUUCAUUAUUGUUUUGCUUGUGUACAUUUUAAGUUAAUUUCUUUUGGGGGUCAUUAGGAAGUAAACUGAGUCCUUUAAUGUCUGAAAUACCUGUUUCUCUUUUCACACUUACGUUCCCACAUGGUCUAGGGUCCAGAUUUUGAGUACCAGUGUCUAGGUGAUAUCCUCAAUACUGUUUUCCACUGCUUCUAUUGGUUAUAGUAAUGAUAGUUUUUUUCCCCCACCAAGGGAUCUUACUUAUUGUACAUUUAAAAAAGGAAAAAUACAGUUGUUCUGAAAAAGGAAUAGUCUCUUCUAAAUUUCUUUUAGGAUAAUAAUUCAACCUUUCGACCCUCACCCCUGUUUUCUUAUGGUUCCUCAAUUAGGUUUUUGUCAGGGUCAGUUAAAUUUUUUUUUCUUGUCAUGCUUCACUUAGAUGGUAGGUGAUUUUUUGUUCCCUUUUUAUGUUAAUGAUCAGACAGUUGAGGGGUUUAUUCAUUAAUAGGCUUCUUUAUGUGAGUAGGGAGCUAGCUCUUACACUUGAGGGUUUUUCAUUUUUUUUAAUAAAAAUCAGAUUUUAAAAGAUAGAGGUGGUGGUUGUCAGUUUUGGUUAAUCAAGUUGGGCCCGAGUGUUUCACAGGUCUUUUUUUUUAAGAUGGGGUUUCACCAUGAUGGCCAGGCCGGUCUUGAACUCCUGGCCUCAGGUGAUCCCCCCACCUUGGCCUCCCAAAGUGCUAGGAUCACAGGUGUGAGCCACUGCGCCCGGCCUUCACAGGUCUUAAAUGCCAUCAUAUGGACUGGCAUGCCAAGGGCAUUCUGAAUGCCAAUUACAGAUUGAAGUUCUUCAGAAACCCAAGAUGUUACCAAAAAAUGGUGGAGUUUGGGUUUCUCUUAAAGUCAGACUAAUACACUUCUUAAAUAGAGUAAAUAGAUUCCUUGGUUCUGAAAGUUAAAACCCUAUGCUACAAGUCCCCUCCCUUUCUCCACAAGUCCCUAAAGCAGUAUUACAGUUGCAGCUGGCAGUUAAAAUUUCAACAUUUCAGCAGAGCAGGGCUGAGGAGAAUGGGAAAAAAUGAAAAGCAAAAUUAAUGUAAUUAAUAUAGGGAGCUUUUAAAAAAAAAAUAUAUAUAUAUAUAUAUGGGGUCUUGCAUUGUUGACCAGGCUGGAUUUGAACUCCUGGGCUUGAGUAGCUGAAAUUGAGUAGCCGGAAUUUUAGGCAUGUACUGUCAUCCCUGGUAAGGCAUACAGGAACAUAAAGACUCAUAUAGGAUUGACUUAUGAGACCUUUGAGUACUGAAGGAUGUGAGUUUCCAGGUACAUAUGGUUUAUGGAAUGACAGUGCUGUGGAUCAAAAAUAGACACUGCAGAAUUUCACAGCAUUGGGGACAGAAGGAAGAUGUUAGAAGCAUCCAGACUGAAAAAAAAGUCAUAUACAAUGCAUUAAGAAUCUGAAUGGCUUUUGUCCUUGGCAUGAAUUAGAGCAGAAAGAAAAAAAACUAAAUGGCUCCAGUCUUCUCAAUAUCAAAAUUGGACCAGUCUUCUCAAUAUCAAAAUUGGAAGUUGAAAUGAGAGAGCACUGUUGAAAAUACUGAAAGAAAAUCAUUUCCAACUUAGAAUUCUCUACCCAAAUUAUCAAAUGUGAAGAUAGACAUUUUCAGAUGUACAGUAUCUCAAUAUUUAUUCCUCCUUUGCAUCCUUCCUCCACAAGAUAUGUGAGGAUGUACUUCAUAAAAACAAGGAAGUAAAUUAGGGAGGAUGAAGAGAAAAAUAAAAGAAACAUGACCUCUGUAGGAUAAAUGCCUAGGGAACUAUAGGAUGCUAGUGAAAGGUCAGCGUAGUGGUGACAGAUGUGUAGCGGGUGUAGAGGACAACUGGUUUAGACUAGAACAGAUCAUAAGACUAAAAGUCGAGAGACCCGAGUGCACGUGUGGGGAAGCUGCGGGACCUGCGCGGUGGUGGGAGACAUCCCCGCCCCCACCAGAGAUUUAGGCCCUCCCUCAACUCUCGAGGCCUUCGUCGCUAGCUCAGCUCCUUGCCCUGGCUAGGAGGCUGGCUUGUGGGGUUGAGUGGUCUGAGCUGAGGGCACGGAGACCUGAGGGCGGCGACGACGGCCUCAGCAGGCGGGGAAGAUGAAAGGUAGCCGGAUCGAGCUGGGAGAUGUGACACCACACAAUAUUAAAUAGUUGAAAAGAUUGAAUCGGGCCGUCUUUCCAGUCAGCUACAAUGACAAGUUCUACAAGGAUGUGCUGGAGGUUGGCGAGCUAGCAAAACUUGCCUGUUUCAAUGAUAUUGCUGUAGGUCUGGUAUGCUGUAGGUUGGAUCAUUUACAGAACCAGAAGAGACUUUACAUCAUGACACUAGGAUGUCUGGCACCUUACUGAAGGCUAGGAAUAGGAACUAAAAUGUUAAAUCAUGUCUUAAACAUCUGUGAAAAAGAUGGUACUUUUGACAACGUCUAUCUGCAUGCCCAGAUCAGCAAUGAGUUGGCAAUUGAGUUCUACAGGAAGUUUGGCUUUGAGAUUAUCGAGACAAAAAAGAACUACUAUAAGAGGAUAGAGCCCACAGAUGCUCAUGUGCUGCAGAAAAACCUCAAAGUUCCUUCUGGUCAGAAUGCAGAUGUACAAAAGACAUACAACUGAACAAAUUACAAAUGAACUUUCUUGCACUUGCUUGUCGCCAAAUAAAAGAGAGGCCCAUUGAAAAAAAAAGACUAAAAGUCUUCAAGAUGAAACUGAUGGAUCUGAAUUGUGAAAAAAAUCACAAUGGAGAUGGUUGUAUCCGAAAAGGAGCCAGGUGGGCUUAAGGAAUUGGACCCCAGUCACAUACACAUCCAGAUGGAGUUUCACUUGCUGAACUGGGCCAAAGUGUAAAACUAGCUGCAUUUGAUUUGAGCUGUAUAUACUGGGCUUGAUCAACCUCCUGGAGAAAUAACCAUGCCCAACUACAAUGAUCAUUGACUAUAGACAUUCUAAGCUGACAACUAGCCAUCAUUAAUCAUGGACUGUGCUAAAACCUUCCAGAUAUGUAAAUUUACAGUAGCCCUUAAAAGCUCUGUCUAACCUUGCCUGGCUGGAACAUGGUUUAGCUGCUUGCUAGAUUUAUGUCUCCCAUAUUGCAAUUCCUAAAAACCGGAUUAAGAUGCUUUUU